CCGCAGGCUCCGCCCUGAGCCAAUGGCGUUUGGACCAGGCUCAGGGCUGUAGUGUGCCGGGCUGGAGGGCCUCGGCGAGCUUAGGCCGGGAGAGGGAAGCUGGACCCGGCGGCCGCUCUCACAACCCGCCCGCCCUCGUUUCGCCCUGCUCUAGGCACGCGAAGUGGUUUCAAAGCAUUUCUGGCUUAUUCUCAACCAUUUCUGAUAUCAGCAGCAACUUCUGAGAGGCCAUCUCUCUUCUGCCUACCAUUCUCCAACAAUUGCCUUUGUGCCCAAAGAACCAACUGUAGGGGUUGCAGCCCAUCUGUCAUUCAUAAGGAUGCCUCACACACUCGGGCAACUUGAACGCAACUAUAUGCUUUCCUGUACCUCUGAAGUCUGUAGCAGUCUGCCACUGGGACUUGGAUUCUUAAAUGUGACAGCAGAAAUCAGGAUGCACUCCAGACUUAAAUGACUUGGGUAAAAUAGCUCUAAUGCUCCUUUUCAUUGAUAGACGACUUUACAUGACAAAGCCCAUCGAAAUCAUUACUAAUUAAACCUGCCACUCGCCUUCUGAA